UACAGAUUGGGCUUUAUUAUUGAAUUCAAAAGUUAUAGAAAAUAAAAUUCUGAACCAGACCAGGCCCGAUUGGAAUUUUGACCUCAUCACCAAAACAAAACAGUAAAAAAAAUGAAUAGCUGAAACGCCAAUAACUACUCCUAUGAAAUCCUAAAAAGCAGCAUAACUGAACCUUCUGGAAGCCAUUAAUGCUGCUAUACAAUCUUUCCCAAUCAGCAUCAUAACUUUCAAUCGUCUUGUCCCUUCACCUGCCUUAUCUUCUUCAAGACGAAAUCAUACUCCCGAGGAAACCCCAUUUUCUGUCUUUGCUUUACCUGCCUCCGCUCGAUUUACCCAUUUCAUUUUCAUCCCUUUCAUUCAUUCCGGUUCUCCCACUCCAUCCCUUUUCUCUCUGAUCUUCUGCAUAUUCAGGGACUCCCUCAACUAGGUAUAUUAUUCUUUUAUCCCUCAGCAUUGCUUUUGCUAUCGUAUGCGCAAGACUGUUAACUGCUCUUGGAACAUGUUCAAAUCUGCAUUCCUGGAAUCUUGAUUGUAGCUUAUGAAUAUCACUGAUGUAGGCACAUACUUGUGAUUUAUCUGGGAUAUUAGAUCUGCAUUUCUUUAUUAUCGAUAAUGAAUCUCCUUCAAUAAUGAUUUUUCUCCAUUUCAUUUCUUUACCAAUUUUGAUCGCUUUCCGGCUCGCGAGCGCCUCGGCCGCAAAAGGAGAUGCCACCUGUUGAUAUAUCAUCAAGCAUGAGAGCAAAACCUUGCCUUCGUUGUUUCUAGCCACAAUCCCCACAGCCGAUUGCUUACUCUUUCCAUCAUAUGAUGCAUCAAAGUUUAUCUUCACAAUCUGAUCAGGUGGCUUCUUCCAUUUGCUUGUCAAUUUAUAUGAUUGUGCUCUACUUUUUCCUAUCCCGUCCAACUCUGUUAUGUAGCUACUAACGAAUCGGCCUAUUUCUUUUCCAGAUUUGCUCACUUUAUUAUGCACUCUGUUAUUUCUAUCCCCCCAUAUAGCCCAUAAUGCACAGCAAAAUAUCCUACACUAAGGGCACGUUUGGUUCGCUCUAUUGCAUUAGAGGUGUAUUGCAUUAGAGGUGUAAUGGAAUAGAGGUGUAAUAGCAAAUUAACUGUUUGGUUGAAUCUAAUGGAAUAGAGGCGUAAUAGUAAAACUGUGUUUGGUUGAAUGUAAUAGAGGUGUAAUAGCAUAAUGGAGAAAACUAAAAUGACCAGAAUACUCUUAGCAUAAAUUUGUUUUGGUAAAUGAUUAUUGUUAUUGUUAUUUAAAUUUUAAUAAGAUUAUUUAUUAUCAAAAAUAAAUAAUUUAAUCAUAUUUAAACAUAAUUAUUAUUAAAUAUAUUAAAUAUAUUAUAAUUAAAAUAUAUACUUUAAUAAAAUUCUUAAUAAUUAAUAUUCUUAUAUGAAUUUAUUCAAAUCAUAAUAUAUGAUACUAUAAAAGAUAAUUUGAAAUGAUUAAUAUUAAAUAUAUUUUAAUUAAAAUAUAUGAUUUAAUAAAAUUUAAAAUAAUUAUAAUUAAUAAAUUAUCUUAUAUGAAUUUGUAUAAUUUAAAAUAAUUAUUAUUACAUAUAAUUUAAUAAGAUAUAAUUUCAUAAAAUUAUUGAUAAUAAAUUUUCUUAUAUGAAUUUAUAUAAUUUAAAAUAAUUUAUAUAAUAAAUUUAUUGUAUAACUUUCUCAAAGAGGUUCUUUCAUUGUCGGGCAUGGGUGUUGAAAUCAAAUACUUUAAGAAAAAUGAAUACUCUGACAGGGGUAUAAAAAAGGGAUACUUCAAGCAAAAUGAAGAGUCGGAGAAACAUAGCUCUGUAUAUUCUCUCAGUUGCUAUAUUUUUUGGUUUUCUUACCUUAUUCUCUGAAUUUUCUUCCUCAAUGAGAUUCUUUUUUAUUUUUUGAUUUUAGCUUUGCCCCUAUGGCAUGAAUCUUGUGAUGAAUUAAAAAAUUAAAGAAAUAUAUAAAAAUGGGUAAAAUUCAAGCAGAUGCAUCGCCAUAUUUCAUCAUUGAUAUGUUGCAUUUUGGAUCAUAAUUCAAAUUCAACUACAAAUUAUAGGUUAAUGGGUUUGAAGCAGCACCAACAACUAUAGCCAUGGGAUUCGACAAAUUGGGAGCAGCAAGAAUUGCAGUAGUGGUGUUUGAUGGAACUGUAGUUCCUACAUUCAAACAAGUUUAGUCAGUUAAGUAUCUAGCAUUUCAAUAUGAUUCAACAAGCAUACAAUUCAAUGUUAUAAGAGGUAAAAGCAUAACAUUUGCCACUCUUAAGUCAUGUCAAUUGUCGGAAGGUAAAUGAGCAGAAUUGCUAAAAGCUGGUGACCUUUAAAGCCAUUAUCAAGCCCAAAAGAAUAGCAAAAUAAAAUAAUUCGUUGUACAUAUCAGAUAUAGAUUUUAAACAUUCGACCCCAGCCUCUCUCAAAACCUUCCCUCUUUUAUUUCGAUGAGGAAAUUACACAAAAAAGGGAAUGGAAAAAAGAAACAACGUAAAAUCCUAACAGCUAUAAUUCCUUAAAAGUUACACCAAGGAGUAUAACUGCACCGCAUCACAUGAUCAACCAGCAC
rnacentral:lncRNA from 1 species